rnacentral:rRNA from 1 species
UACAUGAGUGACAAGCGUUAUCCGUAAUAAUUGGGCGUAAAGAAUGCGGAGAUUGUAAAAGUAGUUAUAGUUAACUUUAAGGGUUAAUCCGGUGUAUUUAUAAUACCUUUUUACUAGAGUUUUAAUUAUGAGAUUAAUAUUUAUAAAUUAGUGAUAAAAUACUGCGAAUUUAUAAGUAUUUUCAAAAGUGAAAACAAUUUUCUUAUUAAAACUGACAUUCAUGCAUUAAAGUAUGGUUAUCGAUUAGG